rnacentral:snRNA from 1 species
AUACUUACCUUAGAGGGGAGACACCAUGAUCAUAAAGGUGGUUUUCCCAGGGCAAGGCUUAUCCAUUGUACUCCGGAUGUGCUGACCCCUGCGAUUUCCCCAAAUACGGGAAACUCGACUGUAAAAUUUGUGGUAGUAGGGGACUGCAUUCGCGCUGUCCCCUG